GUCGGAAAGUCUCGUUUACUUUCACUUUCGAUUUACUACUUCCGGGCAGCUGUCGAAAAAUGUCACUUUGUUUUGCUUUGGUUAUGCUCAGAUGACAGCGUUAAAAUGAACCUACAGCCUAUAUAGAUUCCCUACUUAUGCAAAGAGAGGAAGAAGUGGAUUUAUAGAUGCAGAUGCUGUUAUAUACAUCAUUACCGUCAGAAGUAUCAAUGUGUUGGUGGCUGUUAUGAAGAGAAUGGCCCAUUUUAACAACUUCUAGGAUGGGCGGUACAAGGGUUCAUACCAGUGACCAAUGAAGCACAGCUGUUACAAGACAGGAAGAGUCAAAUUCAUGUGGAGUGUGCAAUUGAAUUUAAUUAAAAACAUCCAUAUUCUAAAUCAUAUACCUUCACAAUACAGACAUAUAUAUCUGUCCACUAAGAUUUUCAACUCUGUGUGACUCUUGUACAUUUGCAAAUCCUCUACUGAAGGAAAUAGCUGAUAUGAAUUUCACAAUUAAUUAAAUCUUACCUUUGGACUUAGAUACUAUAAAUGUACAACUUCUUACUCACAUUAUUCUGGAUUGUCAAGUUGUAUUAAAUGCAUUCAAGUAAAUGAUAAAGUGAACAUUUAUUUAAGGUUGCUAGUCAAAGAAAUUGUUACAAUGGUGAUUCAUGCACAUCUUCACACUGAUCAUUUGUAGCAAAAAGAAAAUAAAACUAAUGGAAGACAUUUGAAUUUUCA